CGUAGGGGGCAAGCGUUGUCCGGAUUUAUUGGGCGUAAAGAGCGUGUAGGCGGUUACACAGGUCCGCUGUGAAAACUGGAGGCUUAACCUCCAGACGUCGGUGGAAACCGUGUAACUAGAGUCCGGAAGAGGAGAGUGGAAUUCCUGGUGUAGCGGUGAAAUGCGCAGAUAUCAGGAAGAACACCCGUGGCGAAGGCGGCUCUCUGGGACGGUACUGACGCUGAGACGCGAAAGCGUGGGGAGCGAACAGGAUUAGAUACCCUGGUAGUCCACGCCGUAAACGAUGGGUGCUAGGUGUGGGGGGUGUCGACUCCCUCCGUGCCGCAGCUAACGCAUUAAGCACCCCGCCUGGGGAGUACGGCCGCAAGGCUA
rnacentral:rRNA from 1 species